UACGAAGGGGGCUAGCGUUGUUCGGAAUUACUGGGCGUAAAGCGCGCGCAGGCGGCUCUUCAAGUCAGGGGUGAAAGCCCAGAGCUCAACUCUGGAAUUGCCUUUGAGACUGUAGAGCUUGAGUACGGGAGAGGUGAGUGGAAUUCCCAGUGUAGAGGUGAAAUUCGUAGAUAUUGGGAAGAACACCGGUGGCGAAGGCGGCUCACUGGCCCGUUUCUGACGCUCAGGCGCGAAAGCGUGGGGAUCAAACAGG
rnacentral:rRNA from 1 species